rnacentral:rRNA from 1 species
GCCCGCUCAGAAACUCAAAGGAAGUUGACGGGGCCCGCACAAGCGGUGGAGUAUGUGGUUUAAUUCGAUGCAACGCGAAGAACUUACCUGGUCUUGACAUCCCGGAGACCCUUAGGAAACUAGGGGGUGCUUCCAUCUGGAAGAAUCUGGAGACAGGUGCUGCAUGGCUGUCGUCAGCUCGUGUCGUGAGGUGUUGGGUUAAGUCCCGCAACGAGCGCAACCCCUGCCUUUAGUUGCCAGCAGUUCGGCUGGGCACUCUAAAGGGACUGCCGGUGUUAAACCGGAGGAAGGUGGGGAUGACGUCAAGUCCUCAUGGCCUUUAUGACCAGGGCUACACACGUACUACAAUGGCCGAUACAAAGGGCAGCGACACUGCGAGGUGAAGCCAAUCCCGUAAAAUCGGUCUCAGUCCGGAUUGGAGUCUGCAACUCGACUCCAUGAAGUUGGAAUCGCUAGUAAUCGUGGAUCAGCAUGCCACGGUGAAUACGUUCCCGGGCCUU